UACGGAGGGUGCGAGCGUUAUCCGGAUUCACUGGGUUUAAAGGGUGCGUAGGUGGGAAUGUAAGUCAGUGGUGAAAUCUCUGGGCUUAACUCAGAAACUGCCAUUGAUACUAUAUUUCUUGAAUUUUCUGGAGGUUAGCGGAAUAUGUCAUGUAGCGGUGAAAUGCUUAGAUAUGACAUAGAACACCAAUUGCGAAGGCAGCUAACUACAGGGAUAUUGACACUGAGGCACGAAAGCGUGGGGAUCAAACAGG
rnacentral:rRNA from 1 species